GGUUGGAAGGGACCCCUGGAGAUUAUCUAGUCCAAACCGCCUGCUUGAAAAUACUGGGAAACAGUAGAAAGGGAAAGGAGACGGGAAGGAGGGAGUGGCAGUGGCACUGUGGUCACCCCAGACACACAUGCAGACACACGUAUACAAAGUGCUGCUGGGACAAGUGCUGAGGGGGCAGAAGGACUGUGGUGACAUCACCGAGCAACGGGCUGUGAUGUCACCGAGAGAUGCACUGUGAUCACAGCACCAUCACUGCUCAGCUUUGGGUGCAGGCAGAGCCUGGCCAGUCAGUCUCGUGCCUGGACUCCAGCUGAGUAUGUGUGCGAGGCUUGGAGGUGGAGUGAGCAUUUGUCUUGGGUGCUGGGCUGUGCUUUGGGCACUGUUGGCAGCGGCUCUCGCUGCCCAUCCCUAUGGCCAUCACCUGCAUUUCCAGUCCUAAGAAGAACAUUGGAAAAAGAGAGGACACAGUAUUGGCCUAAAAUGAACUCUACUGAAAUGACUGUGCUCAAGGAACAAUGGAGAAUAUGGCUCUCAUUUCUGACUGCAAGGUAUUUUCUAAGCCUCUGCAUUCUCUGAGUCACACUUCUGAUGAAGCUGGUGCUCUAAGGUCAGUAGAAAAAGCGAUCUCAACUUCAGCACAGUUUAAGGUUGCCUUUUUCUCACAAAAUACUUGACCAUUUUAAAAGUCCUUUUAACAGAUGCAACUAACUCAACACAAGGGGAACUUGCAUAGACAGACCGACCUGCCUUGCAGCUGCUUUAGCCCAUACAUUUGUUAAGCUCUACUCCAAAAAUUUUACUUCUUCAUAAAAAAUGUCCUUAACUGGCAAUAGGAAAAAAUGUGAAGAAACUGCACAUAGGAUUUAAAAAAAAAAAAAAAACAAAAAAAAAACUUGAAUGGAACUUGGCAAAUAUUAUAGUGUCUGCCUUGCUUGAGCAUUUGUGUUGGCUGCUGUAGUUGUAACUGUGGUGAUUGGAUGCACUGGAAUUUUCCUUGGAUUUCACUUCAGGGGGGGGUGUUCCCCAAGUGUAGCCAUUUGCAUGGCAGGACAAAAGCCAAGCUCUAGAAAGCAAAUGUCAGUCUUUUGUCAGACCUGACCACUGCUACCUGUUGCAGAUCUUACUGAUGCUUUCUCUGAAGUGACACUGUCCUGAGCAGUGCUGCACCUCUGGGUUCCACCCAGUGCAGCUGUUGAUCACACUGAACAGAGAUGUAAGUAUCCAUCAAGUCUGAAAAUUGUGAACUCCAAAGCAAAGAUUAAAAAAUUACUUCUGUGCUUAACUCCCCAAAUCUAACAAAUGACCUUGCAAUUAGUAUACAGUGGUUUUCCAACUAUCAACCACUGGUUUUCCUUGUAGGUAUUACUUUAAUCUUCAGAGAAAUCCUACACUGCUUCCUCUAAUUGCUUCUUCUUAUGAAUUUUGUUAAGUCAACUGUAUGCUUGUCCUUUCACUUACCUUGUUUGACUUAAUAAUGAUCAUGUGUUCUGCCACCUUUAAAUCAAGGAAGUUCUAUAACAGAAACAGUAUUGUGAAGAUGUUUAAAUGUAUGGCAUUGUUCUUGUUUUUAAGAGACAUGAGGAUAUACACCUCAUCUUGCCAGUGAACUGUUGCCAUAGCACACCUUAGUGUAGACCAUGUAUGUGCCACGCUGGCAAACAUGUUUCUUGCAAGGAAUCCUACUAGAGGGGAGCUUCCUAAAGCUUGUCAAGAUGCUUUUCUACUACUGAGGAUAAUAGAAAUAAAUAGGGAAUAGGGAAUAAUAGGUAUAAUAAUAAAUAAUGAUAAAGGUAGCACAUGCAUUUCAGAGAUGAGAGUAGCUCCAUGUUUAGACCUGGAAAAACUGUUCCAUUCUUCAGGUUAAACUCUCUAUGGAGAAGGGAAGAUUCUGCUCUCAUCACAGGACACAAUCACUAUUAAGUUUUGAGAGGAAGGAAGGAAGGUGUAAUUCCUUAAUAAAGGAUGAAACUAAAUUGUGGUCUUUCAGUACAGGUGGAGACAACUGUAUCUUUCAGAUGUGACCAUUCAGAUAACAGAUGCUGCAUCCUUAGAAAUACUGUCUCUCAUCAAAAUCUGGUUUGUAUUAGCUGGGAGGCAUGUGGUCCAAGAAGCCAAAAACUGUUUUGUCUAGAACAAAGGCAGAUGAAAUCAUCAGGAGAAAGAAUGCUGGGUAGCAGAGUGACAUCUAGUACAAUGUAUUUUAAACUGGAAAAUGCUAAUCAUUAUAUUCCUGGGGAAGGACACUGGAGAUCAAAUUGGAAACAAGAGUAAGACACUGCAAGAAUUUCAGCUUGCCUUCUAAUUUAGUACUUCAGUUUGCUCUGACGUUAUAGAGGCAUUAAGGCAUUACCUGACAAAGGGAAAGCUAAAAAAAAAAAAACAAAACCCACAGGUGAGAUUCCUGCCUAGAACCAAUUACUCUAUGAUUUAAAUUAAUCUGUUAGUGCUUAGCAAUAAACAACCACUUGUUCUGACUAGGCUAAGACACACUGCUACAUCUGUUACUUCCUGAGUGGUUGAAAUGGCUCUGCUGAAAGAUUCCCCAUGAGGAGGCAGUGUCCCAAAUCACAGUAUUUUCUAAGAUUGAUAGCAUUCACAGGACAGCAUAGAAAGUGCAAGACACAGAACAAAGCAUCUCGGAAAUGCAGCAGAUUGUUCAGCUCAGAGACCGUGUCAGGCACGUGGGUUUUCAUCCUGAGAGGAAAAAAAAAAAAAGGGACCCAAGACAUUUUUAUCCACAAAGGAUUGUCUUAAAAUUUCCCAUGGUGAUGGUUUCCUGGAGGCGAGUGGCACUUUAUUCAUGUUAGAGUGAAUUGCUGACCGAGAAAUCUGUAGGAAGAAGAGCUUCAUCUGACUUCAACUGAAAUCAGCUGGGGCAGGAGGCUUCUCCUCCUGUGUCUUUUUAUGUAAACAAUGAGUAUCUUAAAUAUUAUUAUCAUACAGUAAAAGAAUAACACUGCCAAGUGAGUAAACCCCAUGGGGGUAAGCAAUGUGAUGGGACUGGAUUUGUAACAGCACAAGGAUACAAGACAGAGUCUGAAAUUUGCUCUUUCUGUUUCAGAUCUGAAGAAGAGCUUGCAUGCCUAAAAGCUUGUGUGCAUUCCAUCAAUAAUAUCAGUUGCCCAAGCCCAACCAGAAGAUACUUCCUUUCAGUAUCUAAAGGGGAGCUACAAGAAAGAAAGAGACAGAUUCUUUAGCGGGGUCCAUAGUGACAGAAGAAGGGGAAAUGCUUUCAACCUCAAAGAGAGGAAAUUUA